rnacentral:rRNA from 1 species
AUUGAACGCUGGCGGCAGGCUUAACACAUGCAAGUCGAGCGGGGUGAUGGUGCUUGCACUAUCACUUAGCGGCGGACGGGUGAGUAAUGCUUAGGAAUCUGCCUAUUAGUGGGGGACAACAUCUCGAAAGGGAUGCUAAUACCGCAUACGUCCCACGGGAGAAAGCAAGGGAUCACUUGUGACCUUGCGCUAAUAGAUGAGCCUAAGUCGGAUUAGCUAGUUGGUGGGGUAAAGGCCUACCAAGGCGACGAUCUGUAGCGGGUCUGAGAGGAUGAUCCGCCACACUGGGACGGAGACACGGCCCAGACUCCUACGGGAGGCAGCAGUGGGGAAUAUUGGACAAUGGGGGGAACCCUGAUCCAGCCAUGCCGCGUGUGUGAAGAAGGCCUUAUGGUUGUAAAGCACUUUAAGCGAGGAGGAGGCUCUUUUGGUUAAUACCCAAGAUGAGUGGACGUUACUCGCAGAAUAAGCACCGGCUAACUCUGUGUCAGCCGCCGCAGUAA